rnacentral:rRNA from 1 species
GCACAAGCGGUGGAUGAUGUGGUUAAUUCGAUGCAACGCGAAAACCUUACCUACCCUUGACAUGUCCGGAAUCCCGAAGAGAUUUGGGAGUGCUCGCAAGAGAACCGGAACACAGGUGCUGCAUGGCUGUCGUCAGCUCGUGUCGUGAGAUGUUGGGUUAAGUCCCGCAACGAGCGCAACCCUUGUCAUUAAUUGCCAUCAUUCAGUUGGGCACUUUAAUGAGACUGCCGGUGACAAACCGGAGGAAGGUGGGGAUGACGUCAAGUCCUCAUGGCCCUUAUGGGUAGGGCUUCACACGUAAUACAAUGGUCGGUACAGAGGGUUGCCAACCCGCGAGGGGGGAGCCAAUCCCAGAAAACCGAUCGUAGUCCGGAUUGCAGUCUGCAACUCGACUGCAUGAAGUCGGAAUCGCUAGUAAUCGCGGAUCAGCAUGUCGCGGUGAAUACGUUCCCGGGCCUU